AUGUUUCAACGUGAAAGAGGAAGUUGUUGUCAUUUACAUAUACAUUGUCCAAUCUGUGUGUGUGUGUGUAUAUAUAUAUAUAUAUAUAUAUAUGUGUGUGUGUGUGUGUGUGUACAUGUAUGUGUGUAUGUAUAUGUAUUUACAGUAUAUCAAUUUUACUUUGACAACAGUCUUUCUUUCCUGUACAUAACUAUACUGCUCAAUGUUUUCUCCCGGUUUCAUGCUGUUUUUAAGGUGGCUACAAAAAUUCAGAACACCGACAAAGCAUCUGAAUCCCAGGAACUGUGUUUGUUACCUUGGGAGAAGAAGGGAAGACUCUGGGGUGACGAUGUUGGAGCAGAUGGCAGUGAUAUCGACGAGGCUGAACCACCGAGCCCAGGCUCCGUCGGGGAAAACACAGAGCCUGUGUGGGGUCACACAAGACCAGAUGAAAGUCCGAUCCCUCCAGUUCUCCGUCACAGAAAGACGGCCGGCAUCACUGAGUCUGUGGUUAGUUUGACACUCGAUCUCCUUCUCUAUGGAGAUUCUACCAUCCUUGGAUAAAUGAUCUCUCUGAUACUGUACACUGUGACUGCUAUUUUCCCCACUCGCAGGACAAACGGGAAACUGUGACUGUGGCAGCCAGAAACGAUGACAACGGUGACUUCUGGUAAGAACAUGGAUACCUGAUAAAUGUAUAUAUCAAUUUAUAUAUAGAUUUAUAGAGUGUCCUCCACUAACCAAAGGUCAAUGGUUCGAAUCCCGGCCCCUUCGGUCCCCAUGAUGAAGUGUCCUUGGGAAAGACACUUACCCCUAAAUGAAUGAUGAUAUCUGAUUUUAUAGAAGCUCUGUGUGAAUGUGACUUGUACUGUAAAGGUAAGACUAGGAAAAUGCUGUAAUCCUCGAGUGUGAAAUGCAAAAUAGAUCAAAAUUUGCCCAAAUUCUGUGAUGUCAGGCUUUCAUUAGAUGAACUCUCCCAAUGGUAAUAGUUUGUUUCAUUACAUCAUUCAUCCAAGAUGGGUAACGUGUUGCAGUCAGGAGCGCAGAAUGAAAACGACACAAAUACAGGAAAACAAGAACAAAACCACAUCAAUAUUUCCUGUACAUACAACACAGAGCACAACAAAAACUCAAAACUAUUUAUAGAAUACUAAAUUACAUGUGCAAAUUAAGCUGAUUAAUUAGACAGGGAAAACAUUUUAAAAAAUGUGGUUGCAUGCUGCACCAGAGCCCCAAUUGGUUCAAAAUAUUACGUUACAUAGAACAUUACAUGCAGAGACAUUAAUAAAUGGAAAAACUAAUGCUUGCAUUUCAAUUUUAUUGUAAAACUAAAUGACUGAUUAAUAAUUUAAAGACAUGAUAAGGAAAUUGAUAACUUGGCAUAUAAAUAUUAAUGGAAUUAUUAUUGCCAUCCCUUCACACAUGGCAGUCACAGUCAGGACUGUUCUCACAUGUGGUUCCCCAAUGGUGGAAUGAGCUACAGUACCAGAGGAGGGUUAUCCCUCUCUAGCUUCAAGAACCUCAAUUCAAUUCAAUUUUAUUUGUGUAGCGCCAACAUACAUCAUGGAGGUCGAGACCUCCCAAUAUUAACGGUUCCCACAAUGAGCAUGAGGAGGAAUAACUCCCUAUUAACUGGAAGAAAUCUCUAACAGAACCAGACUCAGCUGUGGGCGGAACAUCUGCCUUGACUAAUAUUACUUUGAUAUGUGAAAAUGCAUCUGUCCUGUGUGACCUAAUGACUAGAACCUGGUGGCUUCCUUUAUGGUUUUUGUCUCGUGUGUGUGUGUGUGUGUGUGUGUGUGUGUGUGUGUGUGUGUGUGUGUGUGUGUUCGUGUGUGUGUUCGUGUGUGUGUGUUCGUGUAGGUGGAGUGAGAGCGGGGGGCUCCAUCUGCUUCUGCUGUUUUGGCUGCUGCUCUACUGUUUCUGGCUCCUGCCACAGAUGGACCUGAAGACACUGCCCAGCCUGCUGCUGAACCUCAACCACUGAACACGCAGAGCAUUUUGUUUUCAGUGACAGAUAAACUGUCACUCAUCUCAAUUUUUCAUCACACUGUCUGUACUCUAAGUAAAUUGAAGGCAUUUGAAAGAUGUAUAUUUUAACCGCUAAAGCUUUUUGGGGUUUUUGCUUUAUUAUCUUUCCAUGUUGCUUUAAGUGAUCGGCGUGUAAGUAUAAAGACCUACUUCAGCAUAAAAGGACAUCUGACAAAAAGUCCUAACACUUUGAAAAAUAUAGAAGUUAUUUUUUCGUAAUUAAGACCAUUCUCAUAAAUGUGACUUCCGGGCAACCGUGGCUCAGGAGGUAGAAUCGGUUGUCUACUGACCCGAAGGAUGGCGGUUCAAUUCCCAGCUUCUCCUGGCCUGCAUGCUCACGUGGCCUCGACCAGGACACUUGACCCUAAAUUGCCUCCAACUCCUCCGGCAGUGUAUGAAUGUGACAGUAAAAGCACGGUAAAUAGCAACGCUGUGUGAAUAGGUGUGACUUGUGCUUUGAGUGGUCAAUGAGACAAAAGUCAAUUCAAUGUAGCAACUUCACUCCCAAAGUAUUGACUCUUUCCUCAUGAAUUUAUUUGUGCAACUUUUUUCCUCAAAAUGACUUCUUACCAUCUUACUUCAUCUUACUAUCUUAGCUGAGGACUGCACCUCUUCUGGACAGAGACUUCAGAAUCUUUGAUGGACGACCUCUUUGUUUCAUUUCAUUGCACCUCUGUUAGCUGACGAACGUCGCUGCAAGCUUUCUUGAUCUUGGCUUCCAGCCUUCUUCUCCGUGGGGGGAACUCUCUGCAUGGUGCCUUCUCGAUCUCAUAACCAAGUAUCUCCAGCAUCACUGUUGCAGUGGCAAAUCCGAGGUCAUUGGUUUCUGUGACCGUAGUCGAGGAGACAGUUAGUAAGAGCUGUGUUAAUAUCUGUAAUUUUCUUUUCUGAUGGGGCUUUGUCAUAUACAUAAAUAUACACUGCUCCAAAUAAAUUAAGGGGACACUCAAAUCACACAUCGGGCUCGAUGAGAGAGUUAUUCAAGUUGAAAAUCUUUACUGGUGUACAUUGUAUAAUUUGUUGAGAACAAAAGGACAUAACGGUCACAAAAUCACGGUUCAAAUCAAAGUAAAAAAAUUAAAUCACAGGUUGAUCCCAUAUGUUUUUUUAAAAAUAUAUAUGAAGUCACAUCCACCCAUUCACACACAUUCAUACAGCGCUGUUAUUUACCACACUUUUUUCUCUGUCACACUCACACUGCCAGGACAAGUUAGGGUCAAGUGUUUUGUCCAAGGACACGUUUGCAUUCGGACUGGGAUAAGAGUGGAUCAAAUCACCGACCUUCGGGUUAGUGGACAACCGUCUCUACAUCCUGAGUCACAGCCGCCCCAAUAUAUAUAGUCUUAUUAGUCAUAUAUAGUAAUGGAAGCGCUAAUAAUACCACCACAAGCCUAAUAACUCCUAGGGGUCUACUAUAACUCUUGUACUAAAGCAGCAGCCCAUCUUCCUGUUGUGUAAUAGUUGGGGUUGAAUAUGUAUUUGUAAUAUUUCAUGGCUCAAGGUUUAUGAAUAGAUUUUUUUUUAAGUUUUAUGAUGAAGAAAUAUUUUAUGUGAUUGAGCUAUGCUUGAAUUUGUCCAAGUAUGUCAAUAAGAUUGCUUAACAAUUGAAUAUAUUUCUACAUUAUUUUUGGAUAACGUCUGCAAUGAAGGGUUGUGGUGUACUAAAAUGUGAUACUAAAUAUUUUCGAUCAUUGUAGUGAAGGUCAAGGUCAAGUUCAAGUUACUUUAUUAGUACCAAGAGGUAGAUUUUUUUUUGCAGUGGAGUCCUCAUACACACAUAUGGGAAAAAACAAAGAGGCACAUAUCGCACAUCAUUCAACUUAAGACAGUGGAAAUUAAGAAGAAAUGGCAAAAAUUUAAAUUAAAUUUAAAAAGUUCUUUCCGGUCCAGAUAAUACUUAAAUAUUGAUGUGAACUAAAUACUAAUAGUAAAAAGAAAGUAAAACAAAAUGAAUAAGUAAACUUUUGUUUAGGUUAUGAAAACAUACAGAAAGGUUAAGAUAUAAUAAAUAAAUACAUACAUAAAAGCAACAAUAAAUGAACACCUGAACACCUGUGCAAAGUACAGCUAUGACUUAUUCCUCAGUGUAAUGGCUGCAGGGACAAAACAGUUUUUGUCUUUUUGUUCUACACCUAGGGAUUGUAAAGCUACGCCCAGAGGGGAGAAGCUGAAACUCUGUGUGCAAUGGAUGGGAACUGUCGUUUAAAAUGUAACCAGUUAUGCGCUGUAACUGUUUUGUGUACAUCAGUCCUCCAUCACCAAGCCUGAUUCUGCUUUCAUACUAGCAGAACAGAGGGUAACUGUACUGAAUUUGAAUACAACUUGUUCAGCAGAAAAGCCAAUUAUCGCGUUCAGUACAAACUGGGUCAUCCCUCCAACACAGUGCUUCACAAUUAUAUCUCAAGUGUGUGUCCUAAUGUGUUCUUGUACUUUUGUCCUUGUGAUUACUAGAGCUGUGUCCCAGUUCCAUCCUAUUUACUAAUUGCACACAGUAUGGAUUAUACCAUAAUCCUGAUAUGCUGCAGGAAAUCACUAUACUUUUUUGUGUAGUACAAAUGGGAACCUGCCAUCAAUCAAACUGUAACUGAAACUUCACAAAAAGACAACAAAAAUGUUUAAACUAAAGAUUUAAUAUUUAUAUAUGCAUUAUGACCGUUAUUAUAUAAUACUGUUUUACAAUGUAAUGUUGGUUUGACAUGACAAAUAAAAGUCCACCUACUUGCCGUUUCUAGGUAAUUUCUGGUAUUUAUUUCCAAACAAAUGUAAUUAUUACCAAAAAUCAAUGCUCACACAGUGAUCAUAGGGUUUUUGAGCAUCUACCUUCAUUAUCUAACUUUAACCGUGUUUCAGCUCCCAGAACAAUAUUAACAUUACUUUUGCUUUUAGUUGCCACAAGCAGAUGUACUCAGUACUCUGUAUGUAAAAAUGUGAAUACAACAUACAUAAGAAAGUUUUCAAAUAGAUUUAAAAUGCUUCAUGCACAUCAUACAUCC
ensembl:lncRNA